GAUGAACGCUGGCGGCGCGCCUAACACAUGCAAGUCGAACGGUUAAAGCACCUUUUAGGUGUGUCUAAAGUGGCGAACGGCUGAGUAACACGUGGGCAACCUGCCCUCCUCUUGGGGAUAGCCUCGGGAAACCGAGGAUAAUACCCGAUACUUCAAUGUGGCCGCAUGACGACAUUGAGAAAGCUUUUGCGGAGAAGGAUGGGCCCGCGGCCUGUUAGCUUGUUGGUGGGGUAGAGGCCUACCAAGGCAAUGAUGGGUAGCUGGGUUGAGAGACCGACCAGCCAGAUUGGGACUGAGACACGGCCCAGACUCCUACGGGAGGCAGCAGUGGGGAAUCUUGCACAAUGGGCGAAAGCCUGAUGCAGCGACGCCGCGUGCGGGACGAAGGCCUUCGGGUUGUAAACCGCUUUCAGCAGGGACGAGGCGAUAAGUGACGGUACCUGCAGAAGAAGCCCCGGCUAACUACGUG
rnacentral:rRNA from 1 species